GAAGUCCACUGAACCUUAUCAUUUAGAGGAAGGAGAAGUCGUAACAAGGUUUCCGUAGGUGAACCUGCGGAAGGAUCAUUGUCGAUGGCACGAACGAGGGCAGACCCGCGAACCGCGUGACUCGAACGGACACGGAGGGGGGGGACGCUGCCCCCGCCGCGGCACCGGCGGGAUGCCGGGCGCGGUGCGGAGGCGGCGAUCCUUUCCCGCCGCGGCACCGGCGCGAGGCCGGGCGCGGCGAACGAUCGACCCAACCCACGGCGCGAGUGGCGCCAAGGACCCCAAGAGGAUCGCGGGGGAGGAGGACGGCCGUCCCCUCCGCCGCGAGAGGGAAUCGAAUGUCGGACGACUCUCGGCAACGGAUAUCUCGGCUCUCGCAUCGAUGAAGAACGUAGCGAAAUGCGAUACUUGGUGUGAAUUGCAGAAUCCCGCGAACCAUCGAGUCUUUGAACGCAAGUUGCGCCCGAGGCCUCCCGGCCGAGGGCACGCCUGCCUGGGCGUCACGCACCGCGCUGCCCGCACCCGGCCCGGGUCGCUGGCGGAGACUGGCCGACCGUGCGCCCUGCGCGCGCGGCGGGCUGAAAGCCAUUGCGUAUGCACAUACGGAGUGCCCCCGGAGGGGUGCGUCGGCACGGCGUUGGGUGGUCAAGAGGGCUCCCGGGGAGCCGGUGCGAUCGGACGCCGCGCGCGCCGCCCGCUCCGAGGGGACGUAGGCGCCCUCCCGGACUGCGUCGCGACCCCAGGUCAGGCGGGGCCACCCGCCGAGUUUAAGCAUAUAAAUAAGCGGAGGAAAAGCAACUUACCAGGAUUCU
rnacentral:rRNA from 1 species